rnacentral:rRNA from 1 species
GACGAACGCUGGCGGCGUGCUUAACACAUGCAAGUCGAACGGAAAGGCCCUGCAUUUGUGGGGUGCUCGAGUGGCGAACGGGAGAGUAACACGUGAGUAACCUGCCCUUGACUUUGGGAUAACUUCAGGAAACUGGGGCUAAUACCGGAUAGGAGCUCCUGCUGCAUGGUGGGGGUUGGAAAGUUUCGGCGGUUGGGGAUGGACUCGCGGCUUAUCAGCUUGUUGGUGGGGUAGUGGCUUACCAAGGCUUUGACGGGUAGCCGGCCUGAGAGGGUGACCGGCCACAUUGGGACUGAGAUACGGCCCAGACUCCUACGGGAGGCAGCAGUGGGGAAUAUUGCACAAUGGGCGGAAGCCUGAUGCGGCAACGCCGCGUGCGGGAUGACGGCCUUCGGGUUGUAAACCGCUUUCGCCUGUGACGAAGCGUGAGUGACGGUAAUGGGUAAAGAAGCACCGGCUAACUACGUG